rnacentral:rRNA from 1 species
ACUCCUACGGGAGGCAGCAGUGGGGUAAUAUUGCACAAUGGGCGCAAGCCUGAUGCAGCCAUGCCGCGUGUGUGAAGAAGGCCUUCGGGUUGUUAAAGCACUUUACAGUAGGGAGGAAGGUAGUGUAGUUAACACUGCACUAUUUGACGUUACCUACAGAAGAAGCACCGGCUAACUCCGUGCCAGCAGCCGCGGUAAUACGGAGGGUGCGAGCGUUAAUCGGAAUUACUGGGCGUAAAAGCGCAUGCAGGUGGUUUGUUAAGUCAGAUGUGAAAGCCCGGGGCUCAACCUCGGAAUUGCAUUUGAAACUGGCAGACUAGAGUACUGUAGAGGGGGGUAGAAUUUCAGGUGUAGCGGUGAAAUGCGUAGAGAUCUGAAGGAAUACCGGUGGCGAAGGCGGCCCCCUGGACAGAUACUGACACUCAGAUGCGAAAGCGUGGGGAGCAAACAGGAUUAGAUACCCUGGUAGGAUA